rnacentral:tRNA from 1 species
CGGGACGUGGCGAAGUUUGGUAUCGCGCUUGGUUUGGGACCAAGAUGCCGCAGGUUCGAAUCCUGUCGUCCCGACCA